AUUGAACGCUGGCGGCAGGCCUAACGCAUGCAAGUCGAACGGUAACAGGAAGCAGCUUGCUGCUUCGCUGACGAGUGGCGGACGGGUGAGUAAUGUCUGGGAAGCUGCCUGAUGGAGGGGGAUAACUACUGGAAACGGUAGCUAAUACCGCAUAAUGUCGCAAGACCAAAGAGGGGGACCUUCGGGCCUCUUGCCAUCGGAUGUGCCCAGAUGGGAUUAGCUUGUUGGUGGGGUAACGGCUCACCAAGGCGACGAUCCCUAGCUGGUCUGAGAGGAUGACCAGCCACACUGGAACUGAGACACGGUCCAGACUCCUACGGGAGGCAGCAGUGGGGAAUAUUGCACAAUGGGCGCAAGCCUGAUGCAGCCAUGCCGCGUGUAUGAAGAAGGCCUUCGGGUUGUAAAGUACUUUCAGCGGGGAGGAAGGGAGUAAAGUUAAUACCUUUGCUCAUUGACGUUACCCGCAGAAGAAGCACCGGCUAACUCCGU
rnacentral:rRNA from 1 species